AUUGAACGCUGGCGGCAGGCCUAACACAUGCAAGUCGAGCGAGCGGCGGACGGGUGAGUAAUGUAUGGGGACUGCCCGAUAGAGGGGGAUAACUACUGGAAACGGUGGCUAAUACCGCAUACUAUCGGAUAACCCAUAUGGGAUUAGCUAGUAGGUGGGGUAAAGGCUCACCUAGGCGACGAUCUCUAGCUGGUCUGAGAGGAUGAUCAGCAACACUGGAACUGGGACACGGCCCAGACCCCUACGGAGGAAGCAGUGGGGAAGAUUGCACAAGGGGCGCAAUCCGGAUGCAGCCAGGCCGCGGUGAGAAAGAAGGCCUUAGGGUUGUAAAGUACUUUCAGCGGGGAGGCGUUACCCGCAGAAGAAACACCGGCUAACUCCGUGCCAGCAGCCGCGGUAAUUC
rnacentral:rRNA from 1 species